AGAGGCUUCACACCUGACCCUUCAGACCAGAGUUCCAGAUGCAAAACAGCUGCUGUGGCUCCUGGGCUCCUGUGCUUCUGCGCAUGACACUCAAUGCAAGAUGGCGGCGGCGGGCCGGACAGAGAUGCUGCGUCCCACUCUGGGCUGGAGCCCCAGCAGCGCGCCUGCGCAUGACUCUGGCGAAGCCCCUCCCCUCCCCACCGAUCCUAUAAAGCAGCCCUGCCCACGGCUUGUGAGCAGCAUGUGUUCUAGAGCUGAGCUCCUGCCUCUUCAUUCUCUGGUCAAAAAAGAAAGCUUCCCUUGGCUGGACUUGGUCUACCUUGCUCAAAGGACCCCCGGCAGGAGGACCCUGUGACAGGGUCAGUUAUGAUAGGAUGCUUGUAAUGGGCUAGGCACCCUGCUAAAAGGACUGUGUGUAGACAGUUUCCAUGAUCCUCACCGCAGCUCCGUGGUUGUUGUAAGGUUGGUGCUCCCAUUUUCCACGUGAGAAAACUGUUAAGUGACCUGCCCCAUGUCACUCAGCAAGUGGAAGCGAAACUUUUGUACAGAAGGCUCUGGUAGAUGUGUGAAUGGACAGCAAAAUGCCAAAGGCAAGUGGCCAGAGGAAGAGCAGCAACCUGGACAUUUAGCCUCUGGAAAAAUGAAAAGUCACUGGAGUCUCCUUUCAUUUUUGAGAGCAGAAGCUGCCUGGCUUCUAAACUUCUGAGUGCCGAGCCUCAAAUGCCAGAAUGCUGUCAACUGAAAAAAUAAAUGAACAAAAAAGAUUUUGGAGAGAGUCUGCAAUCUAUGAGGAUAUAUUCCCAGCAAAGAAAAGGUGAAGAAAUUGAAGCUUGCAAGAAAGGGUGCUUGCUCAGGCCAUUCAGCAGUCAUUGUCAGAUGAGGGAUUUGAACCAGGCAUCAUGUUUUAAUAGCCCACUGUAUAAUUCAGAGAUAAUUCAAGAUAUGCAAUUACAGAGAACCCCUAUGAUGGUACAUUUCUUUAAAGGAAUGUGGAAAGUAAAGAUGAGAAGGGAUGAUAUAAAUAAGCUGAAACUAGCUUCAGAAAACAGAGUGAAAAUAAUACCAAUUAUCUGAUGGAGUUAGUUAUAAGAAAUAAAUCCACCACAGCUGGUCCCUAACCUAUGAGGCUCCUGGAGGGUUGAGCAAGAGAAGAUAGUAUAACAGCAGAUAGCAGGGUGCCUGAAAUAUAGCACAUGUAAAUACUUCCUUCAAGAAUGAACUGGUGAGAUCCAUAAUUACCUUAAUCUCAUACCACCAAUGGAAGGACAAAAGUAAAAAAGCAUAAAGAAAGAGGUAUAUUUACUUCAAAAUCAAGUAUAAGUGACUUCAUCAAUUAUUUUGUAUAAUAUUACUAAUUAAUCUGAAUAAUUGGCUAAAAAUAUACUUAACAAGAGGUUUUAAAAGAAAUGAUGAGAUUUCACAUUAAAAUAACUCUGAAGACAUGCCAAAACAGAAAGCCUGUGAAAAUAUAAACACUCCAAAAGCAAAACAAACAAACAAACAAAAAACUAAGCACAGACUUUACACCAUUCACAAAAUUUAACUCAAAAUUCAUCAUAUAUCUAAUGUAAAAUGCAAAAGAUUUCCUGGGAGACAACACAGGAGAAACCCUGCAUGGUCUUGGACAGGGUGAUGACCUUUUAGAUACAACAUCAAAGGUGUGACAUAAGGAAAAAAAAAAAAAGCUGGACUUCAUUAAAAUGAAAAAACUUCUGCUCUUUGAAAAAGAACAUCAAGAGAAUGAGAGGACAAACCAGAGACAAGGAGAAAAGUAUCUGCCUAAGAUAUAUCUGCUAGAGCACUAUUAUUUGAAGUAUACAAAGAACUCUCAGAACUCAACAGUAAGAAAAUGGACAGUCUAAUUAAAAUGUUGGCAAAAAAACCUUAGUAGACAGCUCACCAGA